GAGUUCGAAUCGAACUCUAGAUAUGUUGAAUCCACAAUUUCUUAUGUUGUCUUGGGAACAUUGUUGGCUGCUUUGGUCCCUGUUCUGGGCUUUAAUCCGGUCAUGACAUCCGAGUAUUUUGCUUCAUUUUUGGGUAAUUUGCUGUGCCAUGGUGACUGUACUUAUAGCAUUAGUAGCCUCCCGCCCAACUAAGGGUUGGAGUGUGCGUAGUCUAAGUCUGCUUGAUCCGUGAGUCUCUUCUGUCUGUCGAAUUCU